rnacentral:lncRNA from 1 species
GGGGGGAAUAGCACAGAGACAGUAUUGCGCCCGGUUAUGAGCAGCGGCUCUGGGGCCAGAGCGCCUGCAUUCACAUCCCAGCUCCCCGGCUUUCCAGCUGGGUGAACUCGGGUCAGGUCCCCAGCUUCUGCAUCUGUAAAGUGCAGAUCACAAUGAUACUCAUCCCAUAGGGUGGUUGUGAAGAUAAAAUGUAGUAAGAUAAUUAAAGCGCUCAGAUAGGUGCCAGGCACACAGGGAGGGGUCGAGACAUGUUAGUUAUUAUUUUGGUCUGUGUUUUGAACAGUCAGCUUCUCCAUGCGGUCCUGGAGAAAGUUGGGGAACCACUGUUCUGAUCAGUGAUCAUGACGAUGCAGCUCCUGUCCCCAGCCUCCUCAGGGAGGGCCCUGGAAAGCAUGCAGAGAGUGCCCAUGGAGGUCUGCAGCCACCGUGGAGAGGAGAGGACAACCAACUCUGCUGGUGGGGACGAGGGACUGGCAGCAUCAGGGAAAGCGUCACCAAGGGGGUUUUUUGAAACCCCAACAGAAGGUCAGGAUUGUGGGGGGCACUUAUUGCCGUGAGACCAUGGUGGCUAAUUAGGAGGGUGGGCCCUGGAGCCAGGGGGCCUGCCCCCUCCCGGCUCUGUGCCGUGUAACCUCUCUGUGCCUGUUUUCUCCUCUGUAAAGUGGGGAUGACAUGGGACCUCCCUCACAGGGUUAGUGUGAGGACUGUAUGAGUUUACACAUAAAGCAUUCAGAAGCAUGCUCGGACAUGGGACAUGCAGAGGACACGCCAGUGACUGUCAUUAGAGCCAUCAGGAGGGUCUGACUGUAAAGAACAGAAACUCAGCAGUGAUUUCAGAGGACGAGGUCUAUUUGUGCUGUGUCACGAGAAACCUGAGGGCUGGAGGCUACAAUGAACAGCCUCUAAGGUGGCUCCCAGUGACCAUCUUCCUCUUACUCAUGCCACCACAUCAUUUCCAGGAUUAGGUUAUAAGAGGGCCGGGACUUCCAUCCUGGGUGCUCUCCGGCCCUCUCUCAGAUCACCAGCUGCCGCAUUGUGGGGACCCUCGGGCAGCCUGGGGAGAGGCCUCAUCAUGCGAAACCGAGGCUUCCAGGAGGAAACCACACAAGGGAGUUUGGAAGCGAUUCUUCCUCUCACUCAAGCUGAGAUGAUUGCAACCCUGACAGAAAGCUUGAUGCAGCCUCAUGAGAGACCCUGCGCCAGAGGAACUGAGAUGAGCUGUGCCUGGAUUUCUGAACGCGGAAACUGUGGGUAACAAGUGUUUGUUUUCCUAAGCCGCUGAAUUUUAGGGUCUUUGUUAAGCAGAAAUAGAUAAUACAGAGGCCAUCCAGGGCUUGUGCCGUGACUCAGUGGUGUCUCGAUGUUGCCAUCAGGAACCCCUUCCACCUUUCCCUCCUCCUCCUUAGCCUGAGACUUUCAUCCUCAGCAUUACAAGAUGGCUGCUGCAUCUCCAGAUGUCACAUCUGCAUUCUAAGCAGGAAGAAGGCCUAAAGCCAGACAGGUGACACGCCUACUGAGUCUGUUCCUUUUGCACAAGCUUUUCCAAAAGAGCCACCC